UGGAACCACAAUUAAGUUGAAGCUACACUACGCAGUACGUGGUGCGUGGUUGAGCACACAUACACACGACCAGUGAGAAGCCAUGAAUAAGAACUCGAAUCUCUUCUGUUACUAAUACUACUAACACCAUGGCAUUGCUAUCUUCCUUCACCACCGUCACUCUCCCACGCACCCAAACACCAUUGUUUUACCGGAAAUACCCUUCUCCCAAACUCAAACUCCCUCAUCUCUUUCAAUCAAAUAGGAUCGUUGCAUUUUCUGCCUCUAAAUUGAAUGACCAAAUUGCUUCCAAGUCAACCAACCAAAUUCCAGAUCUCCAGCAUGAGCCUCAAACCCGCACGUGGAACUGGAGGGGUUACUCUAUCCGGUAUCAGUGUGCUGGGAACGAUGGCCCUGCACUGGUUUUAGUGCACGGUUUUGGAGCAAACAGUAACCAUUGGAGGAAGAAUAUACCAGUUCUUGCAAAAUCCCACCGGGUAUACGCUAUAGAUCUUAUUGGAUAUGGAUAUUCAGACAAACCGAAUCCUCGCCAAAUUGGAGAUGAUUCAUUUUACACUUUUGACACAUGGGCUGCCCAGUUAAAUGAUUUUUGUCUUGAUGUCGUUAAAGAUAAAGCAUUCUUUGUAUGCAAUUCUAUUGGAGGAGUUGUUGGUCUUCAGGCAGCUGUAGUUGCACCACAGAUGUGCAGGGGCAUUAUUGUUCUCAAUGUAUCACUGCGUAUGCUUCAUAUAAAAAAGCAGCCAUGGUAUGCAAAACCUUUCAUCAGAUCAUUCCAGAGAUUGCUCAGGGAUACAGCUGUAGGAAAAUUCUUCUUUAAAGCUGUCGCGACAAAAGAAUCUGUAAGGAACAUUCUUUGUCAGUGCUAUCAUGACACCUCCAUGGUGACUGACGAGCUAGUGGAGAUCAUACUCAAUCCAGGAUUGGAACCUGGAGCCGCGGAGGUCUUUCUCGAGUUCAUUUGUUACUCAGGUGGCCCUCUUCCUGAAGAGCUACUACCCCAAGUAACGUGCCCGGUAUUGAUAGCAUGGGGUGACAAGGAUCCUUGGGAACCAAUUGAGCUUGGAAGAAACUACGGAAAAUUUGAUUCUGUAGAAGACUUUGUUGUCCUCCCAAAUGUUGGACAUUGCCCCCAGGUAUGUUGAUUCAGUGUAAAAAUCGAGUAGAAAUUUCAUGGAUGAAUUCAAUGUAUAAAACAGGCUCCUUUACGAAUCACUUGUCCUGGAAUUUCAAAGGAUGAAGCCCCUCAUCUUGUGAAUCCACUUGUUGAGUCAUUUGUGGCGUGCCAUGCUAAAUCUUACGUUGAGCAGCCCAGCAGUUAGUUAAACCAGGUUGUUGAUGCCGUUUGUUUUCAUGGGAAUUGUGUUCAUUUUCAUCCAUCUGAUUCCAUUAAGAUCAUAUUUGAUUUAUUGUUAAAUAUAAGUAUGACGUCCUUGUAUAUAUGGUAUUCAGUAUUUGAAUAUUACAAGUUGUUCAUAAAUGUGAGAAAAAUUAUACCACGUAAAUGCAAUCCAUGGUGGUAAUUGUCAUCAGA